AGAGUUUGAUCCUGGCUCAGGAUGAACGCUAAGGCCUAACACACAGCACGUGUAGCAAUACAUGGUGGCGAGUGGCGCACGGGUGCGUAACACGUAUGUAACCUACCUCUAACAGUGGCAUAACAAUGAGAAAUUAUUGCUAAUUCCGCAUGUGGUUAAUUUGAGGCAUCUUAGAUUAACUAAAGAUUUAUCGGUUAGAGCUGGGCAUGCGUCCCAUUAGCUAGUUGGUGAGGUAACGGCUCACCAAGGCAUCGAUGGGUAGGGGCUCUGAGAGGAUUGUCCCCCACACUGGUACUGAGACACGGACCAGACUCCUACGGGAGGCAGCAGUAAGGAAUAUUGGGCAAUGGACGCAAGUCUGACCCAGCCAUGCCGCGUGAAGGAAGACGGCCCUAUGGGUUGUAAACUUCUUUUCUCAGGGGGUAAACUCUGGAACGAGUUCCGGACUGAAAGUACCUGAGGAAUAAGCAUCGGCUAACUCCGUGCCAGCAGCCGCGGUAAUACGGAGGAUGCGAGCGUUAUCCGGAUUCAUUGGGUUUAAAGGGUGCGCAGGCGGAUAUAUAAGUCGGAGGUGAAAUUCUGAUGCUCAACAUCAGCCGUGCCUUCGAUACUGUAUAUCUAGAGUCAAGUUGGAGUAGGCGGAAUGUGUUGUGUAGCGGUGAAAUGCUUAGAUAUAACACAGAACACCGAUCGCGAAGGCAGCUUACUAAACUUUGACUGACGCUCAUGCACGAAAGCGUGGGGAUCAAACAGGAUUAGAUACCCUGGUAGUCCACGCUGUAAACGAUGAUUACUCGCUGUUGGCGAUACACAGUCAGUGGCUAAGCGAAAGUGAUAAGUAAUCCACCUGGGGAGUACGACGGCAACGUUGAAACUCAAAGGAAUUGACGGGGGCCCGCACAAGCGGAGGAGCAUGUGGUUUAAUUCGAUGAUACGCGAGGA
rnacentral:rRNA from 1 species